rnacentral:lncRNA from 1 species
AUCGGAGGCAGGGGGUGGUCUCCAAUCAAACAGAGAAAAGGUCCUGGAGAAGGACUGCAAAAAUGGAGAGUUUUUUGUACAUUGUGGAAUUUCCUGUCGAAGAAGAAAGGAUGAUGAUGAAUGUACUAUUGCAUUGUUUCAACUGGUUUAAAGGAGGUUAUGCCGCUGGCCAAAGGGAAUCUGACUGAAUGACAACUGUAGAUUUGGGAUUGUGAAGGGGGCCUCCAGUCCAGUGUGAAAACUAUGCAUAGAAAUCAAAUUAACAUUCUGUCCCUGCAGACAGUCAAAAGGGACAACAUAUGUAAAUAUGAUUAAUAGAUGAUGGACAAAACACCUUAUGAACUAGAUAGAGAAGAGCACACUGCAAAAUGUGAAAACUCAACAGUAAAUUUGUCUGCCCUUUUUUUAGAAUGUUACCUGAU